UCGGGAAUAUUGCGCAAUGGAGGAAACUCUGACGCAGUGACGCCGCGUAUAGGAAGAAGGUUUUCGGAUUGUAAACUAUUGUCGUUAGGGAAGAGAAAGGACAGUACCUAAGGAGGAAGCUCCGGCUAACUACGUGCCAGCAGCCGCGGUAAUACGUAGGGAGCGAGCGUUAUCCGGAAUUAUUGGGUGUAAAGGGUGCGUAGACGGGAGAGCAAGUUAGUUGUGAAAUCCCUCGGCUUAACUGAGGAACUGCAACUAAAACUACUUUUCUUGAGUGCAGGAGAGGUAAGUGGAAUUCCUAGUGUAGCGGUGAAAUGCGUAGAUAUUAGGAGGAACACCAGUGGCGAAGGCGACUUACUGGACUGUAACUGACGUUGAGGCACGAAAGUGUGGGGAGCAAACAGGAUUAGAUACC
rnacentral:rRNA from 1 species